UUACUGGUGCCCACUCGAGCAAAUCGAUGAGCAACGGGAUGACAGUGACAGUGACAGUUUUAAAAAGACCAUGCAUGUACACCCAGACCUAGUUCUUUACCUACCUAAGACUGGUCUUAGAAACGCUGGUGAUAAAA